AUUGAACGCUGGCGGCAGGCCUAACACGUGCAAGUCGAGCGGUAGCACAGGGAGCUUGCUCCUGGGUGACGAGCGGCGGACGGGUGAGUAAUGUCUGGGAAACUGCCUGAUGGAGGGGGAUAACUACUGGAAACGGUAGCUAAUACCGCAUAACGUCGCAAGACCAAAGAGGGGGACCUUCGGGCCUCUUGCCAUCAGAUGUGCCCAGAUGGGAUUAGCUAGUAGGUGGGGUAACGGCUCACCUAGGCGACGAUCCCUAGCUGGUCUGAGAGGAUGACCAGCCACACUGGAACUGAGACACGGUCCAGACUCCUACGGGAGGCAGCAGUGGGGAAUAUUGAACAAUGGGCGCAAGCCUGAUGCAGCCAUGCCGCGUGUAUGAAGAAGGCCUUCGGGUUGUAAAGUACUUUCAGCGGGGAGGAAGGCGAUAAGGUUAAUAACCUUGUCGAUUGACGUUACCCGCAGAAGAAGCACCGGCUAACUCCGUGCCAGCCGCCGCAGUAA
rnacentral:rRNA from 1 species